CAGCAAUUCCCGUGGAUCCAGCAGAGCUGCCGGCUCAGCAGCCCGGCCCAGCUCCCUUGGCCGCCCUCCACACCCCGCGGCCGCUCGGAGCUGGGUGCACAAACAGGACGGGCUGGUUCCCAGCACGGAGAGAACGAGCUGGGCUCGAGGACAGCAGUGCCGAGCACAGCUCCAUCCCCGUCACAUCCCCAGGGCCACCGUGGCUGGAUGAGGGUCUCCUGCACAGCCCUGGUGGCGGUGUCACCGUGGGACACAUUGACCCCAGAUGUUUUCAGUGCUGCAGGGACAGCGGCAGCCCGGAUUUUGGCUGAUUGGGAAGGCAAAGCCUGUCUCCUCCAGGGCAGUUUCCAAGGGAGGUGUUUGAUCACUGCAGCCAAGGAGGCUUCUGUGUGCCCAUCCCUGGAAGUGUUCAAGGCCAAUUUGGAGCACUGUGGUCUCGUGGAAGGUGUCCUUGCUCAUGGCAGGGGGUGGAAUAAAAUGAGCUUUUAGGUCUUUCCAACCUGACCCAUCCUGUGAUUCCAUGAUUCCAUCCCCCAGCCCCUCCUGGCACCAGCAUUCUGCAGCUUUGGGAGCCAGGGAAGGGGUGGCUGGAGCACAGCUCACAGGAACCAGCCCAGCUCACAGAAAUAGCAGCGACAGAAGGAGUGUUUGGUGUACCCGACCUUCUGCUUUGUACAGCUCCAGUGCUGCUUUUCCAAACUAAAAAUACCUCUUACCUUGACUGCUCCGAGGAGGAACACUUGCUCGGCAGGUUGUUUAGGAUUCUGGGGAAGAAAGUUCAGGCAGAGCUCAAUUAGUCUGCCUUAAUUUACAAGCCAAGUUCUGUGUCUGCAUGAUUUGCUUCGCUUGUCUGUGCACAUUUUAAAGCACAGAGCAAUGCUGUGGGAGGGCGUUUUUCACUGCACGUACUUAGGGUAGAAAUGCUGCUGUUAUUCACAUGUUUACAGCCCUCCUCAUAAUGAAACUGCUGCGUUUUCUGCCAUAUUAAAACAAAAUAAAACCUCAAAAAAAGUGAUGUGCUGAAA
rnacentral:lncRNA from 1 species